rnacentral:misc_RNA from 1 species
UACGUAGGGGGCUAGCGUUGUCCGGAAUCAUUGGGCGUAAAGCGCGUGUAGGCGGCUCAAUCAGUCUGCUGUAAAAGUCGAGGGCUCAACCCUCGAAGGCCGGUGGAUACUGUUGAGCUAGAGUGCGGAAGAGGCGAGUGGAAUUCCUGGUGUAGCGGUGAAAUGCGCAGAUAUCAGGAAGAACACCAAUUGCGAAGGCAGCUCGCUGGGACGCCACUGACGCUGAGACGCGAAAGCGUGGGGAGCAAACAGG